rnacentral:rRNA from 1 species
CCUACGGGGGGCUGCAGUGGGGAAUAUUGGACAAUGGGGGCAACCCUGAUCCAGCCAUGCCGCGUGUGUGAAGAAGGCCCUCGGGUUGUAAAGCACUUUCAGUGAGGAAGAACGCCUGGUGGUUAAUACCCAUCAGGAAAGACAUCACUCACAGAAGAAGCACCGGCUAACUCCGUGCCAGCAGCCGCGGUAAUACGGAGGGUGCGAGCGUUAAUCGGAAUUACUGGGCGUAAAGCGCGCGUAGGUGGCUUGAUAAGCCGGUUGUGAAAGCCCCGGGCUCAACCUGGGAACGGCAUCCGGAACUGUCAAGCUAGAGUGCCGGAGAGGAAGGUAGAAUUCCCGGUGUAGCGGUGAAAUGCGUAGAGAUCGGGAGGAAUACCAGUGGCGAAGGCGGCCUUCUGGACUGACACUGACACUGAGGUGCGAAAGCGUGGGUAGCAAACAGGAUUAGAUACCCGUGUAGUC